UUGAAAAACCGUACCGCAAACCGACACAGGUAGGCAGGGUGAGAAUCCCAAGGCGCUUGAGAGAACUCGGGUGAAGGAACUAGGCAAAAUGGCACCGUAACUUCGGGAGAAGGUGCGCCCUUUGGUGUGGUCACGUGCGUGACUGAGCAUCGAAGGGUCGCAGUAACCUGGCCGCUGCGACUGUUUAUCAAAAACACAGCACUCUGCAAACACGAAAGUGGACGUAUAGGGUGUGACGCCUGCCCGGUGCUGGAAGGUUAAUUGAUGGGGUCAGCCGCAAGGCGAAGCUCUUGAUCGAAGCCCCAGUAAACGGCGGCCGUAACUAUAACGGUCCUAAGGUAGCGAAAUUCCUUGUCGGGUAAGUUCCGACCUGCACGAAUGGCGUAACGACAGCGGCGCUGUCUCCACCCGAGACUCAGUGAAAUUGAAAUCGCUGUGAAGAUGCAGCGUUCCCGCGGCAAGACGGAAAGACCCCGUGAACCUUUACUAUAGCUUUACACUGAACGUUGAGUUCUUCUGUGUAGGAUAGGUGGGAGGCUAUGAAACCAGGACGCUAGUUCUGGUGGAGCCAUCCUUGAAAUACCACCCUGAAGUGCUUGACGUUCUAACCUAGGCCCGUAAUCCGGGUCAGGGACCGUGUAUGGUGGGUAGUUUGACUGGGGCGGUCUCCUCCCAAAGAGUAACGGAGGAGCACGAAGGUACGCUCAGCGCGGUCGGACAUCGCGCACUGUGUGCAAAGGCAUAAGCGUGCUUGACUGCGAGAUCGACGGAUCAAGCAGGUACGAAAGUAGGUCUUAGUGAUCCGGUGGUUCUGUAUGGAAGGGCCAUCGCUCAACGGAUAAAAGGUACUCCGGGGAUAACAGGCUGAUACCGCCCAAGAGUUCAUAUCGACGGCGGUGUUUGGCACCUCGAUGUCGGCUCAUCACAUCCUGGGGCUGUAGCCGGUCCCAAGGGUAUGGCUGUUCGCCAUUUAAAGUGGUACGCGGGCUGGGUUCAGAACGUCGUGAGACAGUUCGGUCCCUAUCUGUCGUGGGCGUUGGAGAUCUGAGGGGGGCUGCUCCUAGUACGAGAGGACCGGAGUGGACGUUCCGCUGGUGUUCGGGUUUUCAUGCCCAUGGCAUUGCCCGGUAGCUACGAACGGAAGUGAUAACCGCUGAAAGCAUCUAAGCGGGAAGCACGCCCCAAGAUGAGAUCUCCCGAGAGCUUGACUCUCCUAAAGGCACCAUCAAGACUAGGUGGUUGAUAGGUCAGGUGUGGAAGCGCAGCAAUGCGUUGAGCUAACUGAUACUAAUGAGCCGUGAGGCUUGACCG
rnacentral:rRNA from 1 species